GCUAUGCGUGGGCCAGCGGCCUCGUGAAUACAGAGGGUGCGGGCGUUAAGCGGUUUUACUGGGGGUAAAUGGUGCGUAGGCGGCUGAUUAAGUCGGAUGUGAAAUCCCUGAGCUUAACUUAGGAAUUGCAUUCGAUACUGGUCAGCUAGAGUAUGGGAGAGGAUGGUAGAAUUCCAGGUGUAGCGGUGAAAUGCGUAGAGAUCUGGAGGAAUACCGAUGGCGAAGGCAGCCAUCUGGCCUAAUACUGACGCUGAGGUACGAAAGCAUGGGGAGCAAACAGGAUUAGAUACCCCGGUAGUC
rnacentral:rRNA from 1 species